rnacentral:misc_RNA from 1 species
UUGUAAUAUUUCACUGGUUAUUUUUAUAUAAACAGUGCAUCAGUAAUGAUGACUGGUGUGUUAUGCUUUUUGCCUAGGUUGAGGUUUAUUUUCUAUGCAAAGAAGACAUCUGUGUAAACAACUGUUAUCAAAAAUGUCUUCCCAUCAUAUCUGUGUUUAAUUAAUCAAACCAUUAGUUUACAACAUCAUUCUGCAAAUCUGGAGUAUUUGGUGCAAAACAUGAUAUUUUUUUUUGAUUUUUUUUUUUGGCUGACAUUUUUCUUGAUGUAGAUUCAGAUCCUUAAUUUUGUAAUUUUUUAAUAUGAAAAAUUUGUUUGAAUUAUUUUUAUUCUGUCAUGAUUAGCCGUUUAGAAAAUGCUGUAUUUAGUAAGAAUUUGCUUUAGUUGGCAGAUUGGGUCAAUACCACACCCUGUAAUCUGUUUUCACCACUCUUAUUCAACAUGAAAUAAUUGCAUGUUAGCAUUAAUAAUUAUAACUUACCAAUUAACAAUGUGUUUAAUACUUUCAAUAAUUAGUGUAAUUGUAUAAUAGUGUACCAGUAUACCAGUAUAUGUUCAAAGUAGACUCAUAAAUGAAGAGUGUCUGGAAUGACAUUGAAGUCCAUGUUAAUGUGAAUCCAAGGCUGAAUCUGGAAUGGAGACAGUGUGUUUGUACCGGUACUUCAUUAUUAUAUAGUUUUCUUGUAAUACAAUGUAAACUUAAAAAGGAAUACGGUGUGUAAUAUGUUAUUAAACUUACCACAGAGGGUUUGUAUGAACUUGCAAUCAAGAUUGCUUAAUGCUGCUGGAAUAUAUCCUGAAUAAGUGUUGUAUCAUACCCUCCUGAUAUGAUAUCAAGAUAUAUGUUGAACAAGUGUGUGCAAAGCUUGAAAACAUGUCAUGUGGUCAUGUUAUAGAUUUCUAGCAAGAUUUUUUUUUGUUUUUGCAGUUGUUGCUUUUGAAAUUCUAGCUAAUACAGACUGCCUCACUCACGUGGACUCUAGUCUAUGAAACUGGACUUGUGUAUUCAAAGUCUAUCCACAGGGCAUUUUGACUGAGAAAAUUCACAAUGUAGGUUACAAUCAGGCAGGCAAAAGUUGCAGUUACUCCAAAGUGAAAGCGCUUGAUCCUAAGGUUCUCCAUUUUGUUUGUACCCUCAUAUAUCUAUGUUUAAUAUAAUAGACAUGUAAUAUAAGUAUAUGUUGUUUUAAUUGUUUUAUUGUAAACAAUAUAUCCUUCAGAAAUGGCCAUAACAGUACGGUGUUAACAAUACAUGUACAUUGUAUUUUGGUUAGAUUAGUUUUUUCGCUCGAUUGUUUUUUUCCUUUUUUUUCCCCCACAGCAAAAUAAAAAUUCAAAGAUAUUGAAAAGAGAGGUAUUUAUCUGUAGUUUUGUAUAGCUAUUGGUGCUAAGGAUCCUAACUCUGGUGUUAUCCACUUAGUGUGACAGUGUAUAUGUAUGUAUUAUUUUAGCAGCAUAAUAUCCUAGUAAGCAAUACGCUUGAAAGUGUUUUCUUGGAAUUUUUAUCCAGUUUUACGGUGAUCACGUAGAUUACAAAAAGUUUCCAGUACACUUAACGGACACAAAAAAAAUCCUGAAUCUUCUGCAAUCAUGCUACUGUUAGUUUUGUUGGCCAGAUUUGUUAAUUGUUCUGAAAUACCUUAUUAGUAAUAGGGGAAAAUGUUAUCUAAGGAAUGUUUUGUUGAACAAGUCUUGAUUAAAGAAUUCACUUGCUG